UACAGAGGGUGCGAGCGUUAAUCGGAAUUACUGGGCGUAAAGCGCGCGUAGGCGGCUUUGCAAGUCGAACGUGAAAUCCCCGGGCUCAACCCGGGAACUGCGUCCGAUACUGGAAGGCUUGAAUCCGGGAGAGGGAUGCGGAAUUCCAGGUGUAGCGGUGAAAUGCAUAGAUAUCUGGAGGAACACCGGUGGCGAAGGCGGCAUCCUGGACCGGUAUUGACGCUGAGGCGCGAAAGCCAGGGGAGCAAACGGG
rnacentral:rRNA from 1 species